rnacentral:tRNA from 1 species
AGAGAUGGCCGAGUGGUUGAUAGCUCCGGUCUUGAAAACCGGUAUAGUUCGAAAAGAACUAUCGAGGGUUCGAAUCCCUCUCUCUCCU